GAAUAUUGGACAAUGGGGGGCACCCUGAUCCAGCCAUGCCGCGUGUGUGAAGAAGGCCUUUUGGUUGUAAAGCACUUUAAUCGAGGAGGAGGAGCCCUUGGUUAAUACCCAAGCUGCCUGGACGUUCCUCGCAGAAUAAGCACCCGCCAACACUGUCCCAGCAGCCGCGGUAAUACAGAGGGUGCAAGCGUUAAUCGGAUUUACUGGGCGUGAAGCGCGCGUAGGUAGGCAAUUAAGUCAAAUGUGAAGUCCCCGAGCUUAACUUGGGAAGUGCAUUCGAUACUGGUUGGCUAGAGUAUGGGAGAGGAUGGUAGAAUUCCAGGUGUAGCGGUGAAAUGCGUAGAGAUCUGGAGGGAUACCGAUGGCGAAGGCAGCCAUCUGGCCUAAUACUGACACUGAGGUGCGAAAGCAUGGGGAGCAAACA
rnacentral:rRNA from 1 species